UACGAAGGGGGCUAGCGUUGUUCGGAUUUACUGGGCGUAAAGCGCACGUAGGCGGAUCGUUAAGUCAGGGGUGAAAUCCUGGAGCUCAACUCCAGAACUGCCUUUGAUACUGGCGAUCUUGAGUCCGGAAGAGGUGAGUGGAACUCCUGGUGUAGCGGUGAAAUGCGCAGAUAUCAGGAGGAACACCGGUGGCGAAGGCGGGUCUCUGGGCCGUAACUGACGCUGAGGAGCGAAAGCGUGGGGAGCGAACAGG
rnacentral:rRNA from 1 species